UUGUUUUCAGCUCAAGGAAAGUUUAAAGUCACUAACAAAGGUACGUAAAUUUCAGGGCGACGACAGUGACAGCGAUCCUUUUGAAGUUAACGAUUCCGAUUCUUGUUCAGGUAUUGAAAGGAAUAGAGUUAGAGGCAGGGGAGAUGCCGGAGGUCACAUUAAACGAAAAUAUGCCAAAUAAGACUUAAGCAGACCGUGUAUGUGUUCAAAUAUUUGGCAGUACUCCUUUCAGACUUAAGCAGACCUAUACAUGUAACAGUAUUUGGCAAUAUGUACUUGUUUAUAGAUCGAAGCAGACCACAUUAGACGAAGAUAUGCCAAAUAAAGUAGUUGCGAGCUUACAACAUUGGUUUAGCAUUCAGCAGCAAUGCUGAACAUUGAACUGGUUGAAAAGUUAGUUUUAUCUUACCUUUAGCAUUAUGUGCUCUAAGUGAGCUAUUGUGAUACCAAUGUGUCGGUCGUUGGCUUUUUGUAUCUUUAAUAUGUCUACUAGACACACUGUAAUAGGUUACAAUUUUAGCCAGUUCUGGCCCAUUAUACACAAGAAAGGAAGUAUAAAUGUGAUGGUACAAGUUGUCUGCCAAUCUGUAACCAAUAACUCAGUAACUUGAGAAUGCUUGGUUAAGCAUUAAGUAGUAGUGGUGAACAUUGGACCGGUAACACAAGUACAUGCUGAUGGAUAGAUAGACAGCAUACAGUCUCAUAUAUUUGAUAAAUGAAUAGGACCUGUUUAUGUCGUAUAACAUGGUUGUAGCAGGUAUUAUAUUUUAUAUUUAAAACUACUGCUAGCAAGUGUAUUUAUUGAUUAUGUUAACUAUUUUGUAUGCCCGAAAAGACGUAUCAUAUGACGAAUUCAGAACUCAAUUAGACUUUUAUUCAGCAGUGAUAAUCCAUGUUUGUCUCGCACAGUUCAGUAUUGCAGUCAUCACUGUUAAACAAUCUUAAUAUAUUUCAGACUUGUAUAGACCUAAAACUUGUGCCAGUGUUAAGUAAUUUGUUUAUGCUUUCGGACAUGGGCUGGUCUUAUACGUUAAUUACUAUUUAUAGUAGAGGUCAUUUAUGGUCAAAAUGCCAAA
rnacentral:lncRNA from 1 species